rnacentral:rRNA from 1 species
GCGUAUGAAAGUACGAAUUCACCUUCGGGUGACAGGGAGACAGGUGGUGCAUGGUUGUCGUCAGCUCGUGUCGUGAGAUGUUGGGUUAAGUCCCGCAACGAGCGCAACCCCUACGUUUAGUUGCUAACGCGUGAAGGCGAGCACUCUAGACGAACUGCCGUUGACAAAACGGAGGAAGGUGGGGAUGACGUCAAAUCAUCAUGCCCCUUAUGUUCUGGGCUACACACGUGCUACAAUGGCCGGUACAGACGGACGCAAAGCCGCGAGGUGGAGCAAAUCCUAAAAAGCCGGUCUCAGUUCGGAUUGCAGGCUGCAAUUCGCCUGCAUGAAGUCGGAAUCGCUAGUAAUCGCAGGUCAGCAUACUGCGGUGAAUACGUUCCCGGGCCUU